rnacentral:rRNA from 1 species
UGAGGAAUAUUGGUCAAUGGACGCAAGUCUGAACCAGCCAUGCCGCGUGAAGGAUGAAGGCGUUCUGCGUUGUAAACUUCUUUUAUUAGGGAAGAAAACUGGAUAUUCUUAUCUAACCGACGGUACCUAAUGAAUAAGCACCGGCUAACUCCGUGCCAGCAGCCGCGGUAAUACGGAGGGUGCAAGCGUUAUCCGGAUUCACUGGGUUUAAAGGGUGUGUAGGCGGAUCUUUAAGUCAGUGGUGAAAUCUCCAGGCUCAACCUGGAAACUGCCAUUGAUACUAUUGGUCUUGAAUUCUGUUGAGGUGGGCGGAAUACAUCAUGUAGCGGUGAAAUGCUUAGAUAUGAUGUAGAACACCGAUUGCGAAGGCAGCUCACUAAGCAGCGAUUGACGCUGAGGCACGAAAGCGUGGGGAUCAAACAG